UACGUAGGCAGCAAGCGUUGUUCGGAAUUACUGGGCGUAAAGAGUUCGUAGGCGGUUUGUCGCGUCGUUCGUGAAAACUUGGGGCUUAACUCCAAGCGUGCGGGCGAUACGGGGCAGACUUGAGUACUACAGGGGAGACUGGAAUUCCUGGUGUAGCGGUGAAAUGCGCAGAUAUCAGGAGGAACACCGGUGGCGAAGGCGGGUCUCUGGGUAGUAACUGACGCUGAGGAACGAAAGCGUGGGUAGCGAACAGG
rnacentral:rRNA from 1 species